AUUGAACGCUGGCGGCAGGCCUAACACAUGCAAGUCGAACGAGUGGCGGACGGGUGAGUAAUGUCUGGGAAACUGCCCGAUGGAGGGGGAUAACUACUGGAAACGGUAGCUAAUACCGCAUACCAUCGGAUGUGCCCAGAUGGGAUUAGCGAGUAGGUGGGGUAACGGCUCACCUAGGCGACGAUCCCUAGCUGGUCUGAGAGGAUGACGAGCAACACUGGAACGGAAACACGGUCCGGACUCCGACGGGAGGCAGCAGUGGGGAAUAUUGCACAAGGGGCGCAAGCCUACUGCAGCCAUGCCGCGUGUAUGAAGAAGGCCUUCGGGUUGUAAAGUACUUUCAGCGAGGGGGCGUUACUCGCAGAAGAAGCACCGGCUAACUCCGUGCCAGCAGCCGCGGUAAUAC
rnacentral:rRNA from 1 species